GAUGAACGCUGGCGGCGUGCCUAAUACAUGCAAGUCGAGCGAACAGACGAGGAACUUGCUCCUCUGACGUUAGCGGCGGACGGGUGAGUAACACGUGGAUAACCUACCUAUAAGACUGGGAUAACUUCGGGAAACCGGAGCUAAUACCGGAUAAUAUAUUGAACCGCAUGGUUCACUAGUGAAAGACGGUUUUGCUGUCACUUAUAGAUGGAUCCGCGCCGCAUUGGCUAGUUGGUAAGGUAACGGCUUACCAAGGCGACGAUGCGUAGCCGACCUGAGAGGGUGAUCCGCCACACUGGAACUGAAACACGGUCCAGACUCCUACGGUAGGCAGCAGUAGGGAAUCUUCCGCAAUGGGCGAAAGCCUGACGGAGCAACGCCGCGUGAAUGAUGAAGGUCUUCGGAUCUUAAAGCUCUGUUAUUAGGUAAGAACAAAUGUGUAAGUAACUAUGCACGUCUUGACUGUACCUACUCAGAAAUCCCCGGCUAACUACGUG
rnacentral:rRNA from 1 species